UACGUCCUGCGAUGUACGUUUCGGUUCUAUGUUGUUUUGAACCAAUGACAAAGUCUCGGGAGACUUAUAUCGCGUCGUCACCGAAAUGCCUUAUCCAUCUGGAUGUGGGGACUUCGAAAGCGUCGCUGCGGUCACCCACCUGCUAAUGCAGGUUCGAGACAAUGUAACCGGACGGCAUAGGCGGGUCUUUU
rnacentral:other from 1 species